rnacentral:lncRNA from 1 species
CCAUACCGGACGGGGUAUGGAGAUCUUAUGUGUUUUGGCGCCCAUACCGGACGGGGUAUGGGGACGGCCCGUUUCACCCUCAUACCGGACGGGGUAAUGAGGUUUAUAGUUUUAGCGCCCAUACCGGACGGGGUAUGGGGACGGCCCUGGAAUAUGAUUUCAAGUGUUAAGGGUUAACGGGUAGCGGGACCCCUAUGGAUCCCCAUGGAUACUAGUGGGCUGGUA